rnacentral:rRNA from 1 species
UGCGUAGGCGGGCUAAUAAGUCAGUGGUGAAAUCUCUCGGCUCAACCGGGAAACUGCCAUUGAUACUGUUAGUCUUGAGUUCGGUUGAGGUAGGCGGAAUGUGUAAUGUAGCGGUGAAAUGCUUAGAUAUUACACAGAACACCAAUUGCGUAGGCAGCUUACUAGACCGACACUGACGCUGAGGCACGAAAGCGUGGGGAGCGAACAGGAUUAGCUACCCUGGUAGUCC